rnacentral:tRNA from 1 species
GGCCCCUUGGCGAAAUUUGGUAGACGCCGGGCGCUUAAAACGCCCCGCCCCCGUGGCGUGCCGGUUCGAUCCCGGCAGGGGCCACCA